rnacentral:rRNA from 1 species
UACGAGGGGGGCAAAUGUUGUUCGGAAUCACUGGGCGUAAAGGGAGCGUAGGCGGGUUCUUAAGUAAGGUGUUUAAUCCCGGGGCUCAACUCCGGGCCUGCAGCCGAUACGGGCAGACUAGAGUUCGGCAGGGGAGACUGGAAUUCCUGGUGUAGCGGUGAAAUGCGCAGAUAUCAGGAGGAACACCGGUGGCGAAGGCGGGUCUCUGGGCCGAUACUGACGCUGGAGGAGCGAAAGCGUGGGGAGCAAACAGG